rnacentral:lncRNA from 1 species
CUUCACUUGCAUCAUUUUUUUCAACCUGGUUUCUUUUAAAUUCCAGGUAGUUUGUGACUCUCGAGGGCGAGUGUUAACCGUACCCAUAUGCAGAAUUCACUAGUGUGACCAGUGAACCGAAAUAUUGCUGGCAAACGUAAUCACUGCUUUCUCGAGUAUUGUACAUACUACAUACUCCUCACUGUCUUAAUAAACGUAUAAUGACUGUGCAAGAAGGGAUUUUAUGAUGUGUGUAACAUGUGCCUAUAGUCGGUCAAAGUAAAUGAUGGUUUGCUGAGCCUGAGACUUAUAAAAUGAAAGUUUAUUGUGUUUACCGCUCUGCCUCUGAGAUGGACAGAACUUGGACAAGUUCUACAUGAAGGUUAUUCAACGGUCAAUUUUAGAAAGGUUGCAAAAAUCACUAUUUGGUGGAUGGCCUCUUAAAAACCGGUAAGAUGCAGUCGCUAACCGCAUCCAUCUCCCGUCUCAAUAAACUAUAGCUUUACUAAGACUUCAACAACUUAAGCUCGUUUUCCAGUUCACCAUUUCGCUCGCUUCCCCGCGCUUGGUUACUUUAAAACAACAUUUCCGGUUCACUUUUUAUACGUUACUCUGAUUUUACAUUUAACAUACGAGCCUCUAGUGGAUUAGGGUACGUUUUGAUUUACGUUCGACAAAGCUACAGUUCGGUCGGACACCAAUGCACUCGGGUAGGACAAACAAUAAACCUCAGUUUUACUUAGGUCGGACAGAUUGUCCAGUGCAGUGCUCAACGAAGCCAACAAUGUUGGUGAUAUUGGACCGCUUGGUUUGAGUGGCUCAAUAUAUUUCUACUGGAUAGCUCUAUCAGUUUCUGUUCUACUAGUACUGUUCUCUCUAGAGGUCCAGUAUAGGACCGACUUUUAUUGGUCACGUAAUGUGAGUAACCCUACCGUGUUUGGUAGAGUCAGUCUGGAAGCAUCUUCUCUCGUGGGAUUCAGGAGAAAGUGCCUAUUGUUGUUAAGCAGAGGAUUUCAUGCGCCUGGUAAUUAAAAAUUCGAUUCAAUUAGCCUUUCUCACGCCGCCAUUUUUGGGUGGCUUUUCAGCCGAAGUCUGCGAGAUAAUAAGUCCACAUAUAUAUUAUAGAGCCUCGUUUUCGUGAUUGAGACGCGGCCUUUAACUGAUGUCAGAUACACGAAAACGAGGCUCUAUAGCUAAAGUGACGUACUUUCCGGAAGGGUGUAUUAGAUGCCACCCAAAAAUGGCGGAUAUUCGUCAUUGUGAGAAAGGCUAAUUGUUUUUAUGCACUCUUGUGUUCAGCAUACUGCUCAAGCAUUCAAAUCAUAACAAUAGGAUAAUUUCUAUAGUGUCACUUUUUUGGGACACCCUGUAUGUCAAACUGUCUGUUUCUCAGGCCAGGGUCAAACGUUGAACUUUUCAUGCGUCGAACCUAAUGUUAAUGAGCUAAGUUCUUUGUUUCACUUUAUUUGCAUCAGGUUCGGCGCAUGAAAAGUUCGACGUUUGACCCUGGCCUCAGACUUUUACAUUUUCCUUCCUUAUCGAUCAAGGAUCCAAAUUUCCUGAUAAGACAUAUGAGGACGUUUUUUCUUCAUUUUCAGAAUGUUGCCCGAAUAACUCGCGAUGAACGAACGGUGUAAACAUACCAUAGUACACACGAAACACGUCCAAAACAAUGUCUAAUUGUGGUAAGUACAAAUAUAAAUUUUAUUACUAAAAUUUAUGCAAUAGAUUACAUAUAAUAAAACUGUACAAUGCAUUGCCAAUGUGAAAUUCCCCCGUAGAUCAACGCCUCUAGCCAGCUUAAUUAUAUUUCAACAAUUGGGGAAAAGAUCAAGUUUAUAUACUCAGACCGUCUUUGUACAAAUCGUACUUGAAAGUCCUUGACAUUCAUCAUAUGGUUAAGUGCUCAAUUGAAAAUGUGGUAAGACAUUUCGUCUAAACUCGUAGAAGUGUCCACAGUUUCUGUUGAAGCAAACAGUGCUUAAAAUAAAUGUGCGGAUGAGAAUGUACGAAGAUGUUUCACCCAAACUGUUGAAGUGUUAAAAAAAAAUGUUUGUCAAUACUUGACUACAGCACAAAGAACAGUGCUCGAGUGAUGCACAAAAUAUGUUUGCCGCGAAAGACAAGUGUUCAUGUUGUCAAUCUUUCAUGUUGUACUAAAACUCCCAUGAACGUGAGUACUGGAUUUUCUUCGUCUUCCUGCGGCAGUUAGGACUGAUGAUGAUCUACGAUCCAACGCUGGUAAAUCCGUUUCAUUGAUGUUCUCACGUAUCCCAACAUUCAUCGCACACUGCAGCAGAAUACGUGUAAAGCCAUCUCGAAAGUCCUUAUUCAUUCUGGCGUAUAUUAACGGGUUUAAUACACUGUUUACAUAAUGGAACCACUUCGCUGCAAUGAUAAUAUCACUGCGCAACGAGCGGUAACAACUGCCACAGAUUGCGUAGAAAUUGAGCACGAAGAACGGGCUCCAACACACAAAGAACGCUGAAAUGACAAUGCCUAAAGUCUUCGCUGCCUUUAUCUCUUUCCUCAAGCGGAAUUUCUUGGUUGUGCCGUUCAUGGGGAUAUCCAUUUUCUUCACUUGUUUACAAGCCACGCGGAAGAUCAUCGAGUACAUUACCACCAUGAUCAAUAAAGGAAUGAAGAACCCGAUAACGGUGUACAUCACUUCGAAAACUACAACAGUAUUUCGAAAUAUGCCUCGGGCGGCGGCCAGAAAUACAGCGAAAAUCCAAAUAAAAAUAAUGAUAAUAACGGCACGUCGUCCGCGCAUGCGCUGGUAGUAGCGAAGUGGCGAGGAAAUGCAGAUAUAUCUUUCAAUACUGAUGCAGGUGAGGUUAAAAAUACUGGUUAGGCCACAGACGAUAUCAGAUAGAGUCCAAAUCACGAACGCAGAUUGGUCAAUUUUUUCCCAUUUUGGAUCUGGUCCUGUGACGACGUGUAUAGCCCAUGUUGGCAUCGAGAGCAUGCUUAUGAGGAUGUCACUGACAGCUAAGGAUACGACGAAAUAAUUAGUCACAGUACGGAGCUUAUGGUAUUUGCGAAAUGCCAUGAUAACCAAGACAUUACCAAAAAUGGCCAAUGCCAUGAUGGCAAAGAUUAUUGUUGCGCUGAUGAUUUUAUACGAUUCCGAGUAGACCAAAUGAGGUGACAAGGUGUUGUUUUUUCCAGGCACCAUGGAGGUGUUGGUUAUGGUCUGGUUGCUGUACGUGGUAGGCGUGAAUGGCAAUGUUAAUGUGCUGGAUGGCACAGAUGAUGUCACAUUUCCCGCCAUGAUUAGUACCAGUCUUUUAUCGGUUUACGGUUUCAGCGGCGAUAUGGAGUGUCAGGAUGUCUGUUCUUCUUUGUAUACAGUCUAGUAAAAUGAUUAAGAAUUAAUUUAUAGUUGCAAGGAUUGGAGUGGGAUUAAUAUUACGAGAAAAUCUUUCCAACUUUAUCCCAACAUAAUAUUUACUACAAACAACUACGCCUUUUGCGCCGACGAAAUUGCUCCAUUUUUAGUCAAAUUGUUCGUGGUAGUUUUUCACACCUGAAUAAAGUGUUUAAUCUUCCUUGGAUCCUCAAUUUGCCUGUUAUAAAUUUUCCUCAAAAGUGCAUAAAAAAGCAAUGGAAAAGUUGUCUGUACAUUACGCCAAAUUUGAACAUUGAAGUAAUAUUUCAAAUCCGGCUAUGAGGACUGGAUUAGAUUUCAACUCCGCGCAAUUUCUCAGAAAUCACAACGGGAAAUCUUACUGAAAUUGGCAUGCACAGUACCUAGUAUGUUGACUACCUAGUAUGUUGACGUAAUCUUUCAAAUCUGACUAUGAAGACUGGACUAGAAUUCAAGUCCGCGCAAUUUGAUCAAAUCCGAGGCGAAGCCGAGGACAGGAUCAAAAUGCGAGAACUUGAAAUCUAGUCCAGUCAGUAUUGGAGGAAUUGAAAUGACAUCUCAUACGCGGAAUAAAUCACUACUACUUAAAGUGAGGUUAAUUAAUUUUGAUCCAGUCCAAGGACUGCAUUAAUUUUGACCCAGUCCUAGGACUGGAACAAUGUACUUCACCGGGUAUCCAGUAUUAUUAUGUGAGCAAAAUAAAGUGAUAUGGUUGGCUAAUUUACUCAUGAAUUAAUAAUGAGUUUGAGAUCAACAUUUCACAAUCUCAAAUGACACAUAAGGAACUGAGUAAGAUCUAAUGAUUCCCUAAGAUCUCCCAUCAUGCAUAAUGUAUGUUGGACAGGCCUGGUUUUUCUCUGUUUCACUCUGGUUUUACUGGUCACAAAAAUGGGCGACCCAAAACAAAACUGACGCUUGCGAUCUUGUUCUCGCAAGAGGUGCAAAUAAGAACACAUGCAUUCGAGAAACACUGAACAAAAGUUUCCACGGCAAUGUUUUCUAGUUUGCCCAAAGUUAUAAGCGUAGUGGCAAAUAUGGCGUGACUGCUGCACAAAUGAUGAUCGUUCUCGUAGAUUUCGAUCUCCGUAACCAGUUUUCCACUUCAAUCGUACCGAAACGUAGCGUAUUUCGUUGUUUCCUGAGCACUAGUGUGGAACUACCCACCGGGCACACGACGUUGUUUCAACGUUGAAAUUUGGUAGAAAAGAGGUUGCGACGUCGACAACCUAAUAUCUACGUUGCUCUGACGUUGUUUUACAAACAUUGGUUUAACAGCAGCCAACAGACGUUGAAUUAACGUUCAUUCAUGGUUAAAUGUACGACGUCGAUUUGUGAACCAAUCUCAACGUUGUUUUAACGUGGAUUCAACGUUGAAUUAUUGUUGACGAGAUUGGCAACCUAAUUUCAACGUUGUUUCAAGGUCGAAACAGUAACGUCGAUCCAAUUUGCAUAGUCAACCCUUUUUCAACGUCUAUCCAACGUCUGGAAGGUCAUUUCCAACGUUGAUUCAACGUUGGAUAAACGUCAUUUUUCCCGCUGGGUAAUGACUUCGACACAAAAGAAAAUGCUACGGUACAUUACGAUACGGUUAAAGUGGAAAACAGCCUUUACACGCUGGGAUUUGUGCUGUACGUAUUCUCGCGUUUGUAAUGGAAUAAGCACGCAUAUUCUAAAUUCAUAACGAAAUGAAGAGGAAUUGUGGCGUCAGCAGUAAUUUUCAUACACCAGAAUCCGAAUCGUACACGACAAAUCACUGCGUGUAAACAUAGCUGGAAAUACGCGUAGUUUAAUAAAAGUGUGGCCGUUUUAUCAUCUCUCUUAUCUUUUAAAGGCUUUUACACAAAACUGAGUCCGCAAUAUCAUUGGCAUUGCAAAAUAAAUGAUAAAGUUCACACGCCUCCAGGACAAAGAUAGUCAAAACACUUGGACAAAAUGAUUCUUAAUUAACGUGAUUACAAAAAAUCUUUCUCAUCAAAUAUUUAUCAAACAUUUCUUUUGUGGAACAAGUUCAAUUUGAAAAAGCAUUUAAAAACACAUUACCGGACUUGUGCUAUAAAAUUAUACUGCAAACUUUUUUUUUGAUUGGUUGAUUGCAUUGUUUAAUCCCAAAUUUGUCACAUUUCGCGAGCUAUAUUAUUGUAUAUUUAAUUAGAACAAUUCUUUUUGGGCAUUUUGCAUGACUGUCAUACAGCCAGCUUGGGUUUUUGCGUGAUGAAUAAUCACUUUACUUUAGAUUUUUGAGAUCAGUGAGUUUGUUGAGAAAAAGUCUCGCACGUGCUAGACUACAAAAAAGCUGCAGUAUAUUUAUAGGUUCUUUUAUCAUCGAGUCUCUGCCGUAAUUAUUCCAAAUGCUGCCAGCUUUGUCAUCGCAAUAUGAUUGUGGCUUCCAGAUUAUACAACAAAUUAACAAAACCUUGCAAACAUGCCAAAAAUGGAAUAGAAAUAAAGCCAAUAUUGCUUUUUCACAAAAACAAGUGUUUAAUAGCGUCUCUUGCCUCAUUUUGUAUUCGUCAAGUUUGUCAGCUGUGAUUGACAGCCUUCGAUAUCGCGCAAUUAUACGUGCAGUUAUCAAUAACACAACGAAAUUAAUAGUCUGGCUGCCUUUAUCUAUUACCUCAUUGUGUUAUAUGACGAAAGAAUGUUUGCUAAAGGGCCAUCCACACAGUACAAUUAAUCGUAUGCGAUUCUUAUCCUGGAGUAUGUACUCAAAUAAAUACGUGUAAAAUGUUACAUUUCAACUUUCGCCAUAGUCAUAGAUGAACAGGAUAUGGUGGUGUCGGCAGUCGUUUUCAUACGCCAGAAUGACAACCGUAUACAACCAGUCGUAUCGUGUAAAUAGACCUUAAAUUAUACUCUAUUUCCUGAAUUCCUGCCUACGAUUUUACAGUUUCAGCGUUCAAUUCCGAAACUAUAGAACGUGUAUGAUUCAACAUGUAACAUGUGCUAUACACGGGCCCGGCUCAUUAAUUAAGUGUACACAGUUUCCAAUUAGAUAUCGUUUUCAUUACUUCAGUAUAUAUGAUGCAAUAACAGCUUGUUGGGAUUUGCAAUAACAAGCUCCAUAUGCGUGUGAAAAUCACGGAACGUUGAAUAUUAAAAGCAUUUUUUGUGUAUUAAUUGCUUAUAAAUAGCUUUAUGGGGGUUAUUUAAUCUUUGGCGUACCAAAUUUAUCCCAAAAUUAACUUCAUUAUUAAGUUUCCUCCAACCUCAAGAGACUAAUCUAAUCUAAGUCUCAUGCUCAAGACUAGUUUUGUCUGGCGCAUUCAGAAAUUAUCUUGGUGUACGACACUAUCAAAGUUUCUGUGAUCACAGUAGGAAUUCUAAGUUUGAAUGGAAGGAUUUGUAAGAAAUGUUUGAGGGAACCUAAUUUCGCCUGUUUCAUUGUACCUUAAAUCAUUAUUUGUUCUUAAUAAAUUGCGUGCCAUCGCCAUUAUAUUCUUGUGGUUCAACCAGUGAGACUGUCAGUCACUUCUUCUUUGACUGUGGCCGAUAUGCUGCUUAGUCAUCGCGCUGUUCUUUUUGCUUCCGCUGCACAAUUACUUGGUUCCAAAUGGUUAAAUUCAACAAGCAAAAUGCGUUUAUCAUAGUUUUUGAACGGUCAUCCCGACGUUUCGCAAAAUACAAAUGCUAAUCUUUUCCUAAUCGUUCAGAACUUUAUUGUGAACACUAAACGAUUUUGUUAAAAUCAAGAACACUUUUCUGCCAUGCCUUGCGGUAAUGUUCACCUUGUAUAAAGAUGGAAGACGCUGUUAAUUCUGCAGGUGCAUGGCUAUGUGUGUGUCAAGAUAUAUUUUAUUCUUAUUCUCAUACGUUUCGUUGCCACUCUAUAUUUAUUAAUUUCAAUGCAAAUACGUAUUUAUUAAUGUCAGGCAAGCUUUCCCUAGAUAACCCAAGGCUUUUGGAAAAAUUGCCAUUUCUUUUUUUUGUUAAAUGAAAUAUUGUUUAUAUGGAAUUACUGUUUAACACCAAGCCAAUUUGCUCAAACAUUCCUUACCAAUCCUUCAAACCUUAGAAUUCAAUUUACCUGUGCAAAAUUCCUACUGUGAUCACAGAAACUUUGAUGGUGUAAAUCAGCCUUACCUGAACUACAAUAGAAUUAACAUUAUUCCACCUGCUCGCAGGCAAGGGACAUAUGGGGGGACAUAUAGUCAACCUCGUUCCCAGGCUCUUUGCUCUUGGGAAGCAAAGCGCAAAGAGCCUGGGAACGAGUUUGACAUAUAGUUUGACUUAGAAUAUAUGAAUUUUAAAAGUUUUUUUCUACUUUGGCUUUGAUACCUCGCCUGUCUAAUACUGCCACAAGGGCUGAAAUAUAUAUGAUUGAAGUGCAAAAAAAAUUAUAGGGAAUAUUAUUAGUCAAGGUAACAAGACCUAUGAGGCUAUGAACAGCCUGCUCACAGCCCCCACCCGAAACUAUUUGAAACGGAAAUCCUUUGAACGAAAUUUCGGGCUGCGAGCAGGUUAACCUAUGAGCUGCUAGCCGAAAAACAGCCCUUACAUUGGAUACGCCGAGGGUGUAUUACUAAAAAAUUCUCGUCCUGCACUUUCCCGAAAAUCAAAAAAAAUUUCGAAAAUUCAAAUUCCUACUUUAAUAAUUUUGAAAUCGCUGCAAAUCCGAAUCCAAAAACUUCGUUAAAAAUCAUUAAAAGUCCCACAAAAGAGCUAAAAACCGGGAAAACUCUUUCAAAAUCCUAUAAAUCUUAUCACAAAAAUCCUUUAAAAUCCGCUGAAAAUCUCGACUGAAAUACUUCCCAAAUUAAUCCCACGUCAGCGAGGUAGGUUGAAAAAUGUAUCUUGUUUAAAUCCUGACAUGCACGAGGGACGUGUUUUUGAGGUGUUUACGUCUACAACGUGGGCAUACCAGUCUUGAUAUUACGAUAAUGCGAAGUAACACCACAUGCUCGAAAUGUUGCCCUUUGGCUGCGUUUAGCGCCUUUUCUAGCCAUAUUUCGGAGGUUUGGGGGAGAUUAAGACCACGAGGGCAUAAAAAACUUAAUUCCUUAUAUAUGUCUCAAGAAACCGUGCGCAUUCGCUGCCCAAAUUAACCAAAAAUCAACGCCUGUAAACGGCUCCACCUGGUUCAAAUUAGCGCAUACGUUUCUUUACCUUUCACAAGCAAGGAUUUUAUUAUAGCGAUAAAUUUUCAAAUGGAAUCUUCGAGUGGGAUGUUUAGUUGAAUUCAAAAUAUUUGGAUGAUUAGGGGUUCUACGCCGUUUUUAAUAUAGAAACGGUUCGCGAAUGACUGCUCAGUAAUCGACUGUAAAUAUUGAAUGCUGGUUUGAAUGGAUAACUAUUAAGGUUAAGUCAUAUUUCCGUAGUCUGCCUCCUUCCCAACAGGGAGUUUGGAGGCCGUGGACCGUUAACAACACGAUACAACAGCUUAGAAGUAGCCUACAUCAGUAUUACUUCGUGUUCUUUUAAAUGUAUGGCCGGUGUAAUAUGGGGAAACUAUUUCAUUUUGCCUUUGACGUUUUCAUAUUGCAAGCAGAAACAUCUUUAGUACAUAAACUAACGAUUACACAAAGGUCAAAGCAAUUUCAAAAAGUAGCCCUUGGUACUUUCGGAGGAGCAAAAUCCUUUUCAAUAUCUUGCAAAAUAUCUCCGUUUGAUUUGCAUUCGGAACAAGUAAAAGGUAUUUUGUACAGAAGAACUUGGGAAUAUAUAGAAAUACAGAUGUCUUUCAGCUUGACUAUAUAUGCUAAUGAUAAAUCUAUGUUUCCGAAGGGCAGUUCUCAGUUUGGAACAAGACUAACACGAUUCAGUUGCGUUCAUUCGCGAAUUGACGGAUUGUGAAGCCUCGCGUAUAUACAUGACUCAUUGAGCGUAUACAAUAGGCGAGUGACAAUCUAUCAUUCAAUUUGUCAUGAUUGUACUGAGCAUUCAAAUGAGUAAUUAUGUUUUCGCGAAACUAGCAAGAAAUUAAAUCCAAGAAUUUGAACCUUGCGGUGUUACACUUAGCGCUUUACAACAAAUAGAAUAGAUGUGUGUAAAACUUACCUGAAUGGCAAUCUGCGUGUCAAGGACUACAGCAUUAUACAACGGUCUCGUUAGUUCCUUUGAUCCACUUGGAGUAGGUAAUCUUCUUCUCUGAUAGAUACAAACCUCGAAACACCACUUUCUCGCUCUAGAUUCUGUAAACGCAAGGUAUUAACAUAUGAGUUGGAACGAGCAGUGUUCGCUCUGCAGCCGGCGUUAUUCUGACAAAUAAUAUCUCAAACCGUAGCAGGGCUAUUUAAAAUACGUGUUUUAUCACAACGACUGAAGAUUGACGUUCUCAACAGAUAAGCUAAGUUAUGACCUCAGGUCAACACAUUUUGGACAUACCUGUUUGGCACUCGCGCAUAUAAAGGCCAUGCGCUCCUCGCCCAGCUGACGGAGACGUGCGCUAAUUCGGGCACUUUCUGCGUGGCACCGCAAUUUGUUUUGUGCGCAGAUUAAUGUUUGAUAAUGAACUAAACGCGAUUCCGGUGACUCGCUGUUGUGCAUUUUCCCACGAGUAAUAUCGCUCAAUUGUUUGGUUUGACGCAACGAGAAUAGCAAAAGUCGCGUUAUUGUUUGGUUUUGAGCGCCGAGAAUGUUGCUUUGCUGCUAUAUUAUUAAUCAUCUUGUUUGGUUGUGCACGCCGAAAAUCUGCUGCCUUUAUUCUAUCACGCGAUUGUUUGAUUUUGCGCGCCUAGGAUGUUGCUUUUUUUAACCCAAAAAGCGUAUACAAGUAAUUGUGUGUCAUUUAAAUGCAUAAUCCCACUUCCAACCGAUAAUUUGAAAAAAAUUCAAAAUAAAACAACUUCCGAAUAUGGUAUCUUGAAAAUCAGAGAUAUGGACAGAAUCAAGACAGAAUUUUAUAUGGUUCUAUUUCGACUUUAUUUCAAAGUCUUAAUCGUGCUUUAUCGGAAUAUAAGCAUAUACAUUUUGUCUUGAUUUUGAUUCAUAUCUUAUAUUUCCAAUAUGCAUAUAGUCUAACUUUGUUUUAUUUUGUAUUUAAAUGUUAAUUAGGAAUGACAGUGCGAAGGCAGAUAACAAACGCAAGACAUCAUUCGUGAGUACGUCUAAUCAUUGAAUGUAACUAACAUGCAGGAUCUUACCAGGGGGUUGCCUGUACCCUGUGUAGCCUUUACCCAGUAAACUCGCGUGACACCAGAAAGCCUCUGUGCCCAAGGGUAACUGGACCUUGGACCGCGGAGAACAACUUAAAACAUAGGACUGUUCAGUAGAUGUAAAAAAUCAUUCAGUUUUAGUUUGGUUUUAGUAAGAGCCGCCUUUCAUUCGUCCAAUGUUACUACAGGAGGAAUCCUACUAAAGUAACUUUAUUUAUAUUGGAUAGAUCUUCAUUUGCACGAGC